rnacentral:rRNA from 1 species
AUUGAACGCUGGCGGCAGGCUUAACACAUGCAAGUCGAGCGAGGGGCGGGCGGGUGAGUAAUGUCUGGGAAACUGCCUGAUGGAGGGGGAUAACUACUGGAAAAGGUAGCUAAUACCGCAUACCAUCAGAUGUGUCCAGAUGGGAUUAGCUAGUAGGUGGGGUAACGGCUCACCUAGGCGACGAUCCCUAGCUGGUCUGAGAGGAUGACCAGCCACACUGGAACGGAGACACGGUCCAGACUCCUACGGAAGGCACCAGUGGGGAAAAUGGCACAAUGGGCGCAGGCCAGAUACAGCCAUGCCGCGUGUGUGAAGAAGGCCUUCGGGUUGUAAAGCACUGUCAGCGGGGAGGCGUUACCCGCAGAAGAAGCACCGGCUAACUCCGUGCCAGCCGCCGCGGUAAUAC